AGGGGACAGUCAGAGACAAGUAUGGGGGCCUGUAGUUAACGGGACACGAGUCUCAGGAGUAGAACCCAACCAGCUCUCAUCUCUCACUCUUCCUCUCUCUCCUACGCGAGCCCUCUCAUCUAUCACUCUUCCUGUUUCUGUCCUCCUCAAACCCUAGCAGCCACAGCUCCAUCUCUUCCGUUUCUCUCAUCCUAGAGCAGAAGAAAUAUGGAAAAUCAGGGCCUUUUCAUUUGCUUCCACAGAUUUCUCGAGCUCCGGAUCGCUAGCCUCCGUAUGAAGGAAACGUUUAUCUUCUAAUUUUAGGGUUUUGUUUUGGGAGUUUGCAAACGCUUUCUGGGUCAGAAUUCAAAGAUUGUUGAGGAAUGGAUAUGGCUACGGCUUAGUUGUGAAUUAGUGGUGCAGCGGCAACUCCUAAGUUGCUAUUUAGUCAUGGCCUCCUGAGAUGAAAGAGCCAUGGGCGUGCAUGGCUGCUACUGUGUUUGCUUAGUGUGAGAGGCUGAUUUGCUUUUGGAAUUCUGGCCAAAUAGCCCCUUUAGACAAGAUAGUUGAAUUGAAGGAGAAAUAUAAGUUUCAUGUGUUAUUGGAUGAGAGUAACUCAUUUGGUGUGCUUGGAAAAUCUGGAAGAGGUUGAAAAAUUAGAUAUUAUUACUGGUGCAAUGGGACACGCAUUAGCCACAGAAGGAGGAUUUUGCACUGGAAGUGCUAGAGUCACCAAUCACCAACGAUUGAGUAGCUCUGGGUACGUCUUUUCUGCUUCUUUGCCCCCAUAUCUUGCGAGUGCUGCCAUUACUGCCAUUGAUAUCCUCGAGGAAAACCCUGGUCUGAUAACAAAGCUGAAGAAAAAUAUUGCCAUAUUAUGGAAAGGAUUGUCAGCUAUACAGGGCCUCUCAUUCGCUAGCAGUCCAGAAUCCUGAAUUGUCUUCCUCAGACUACAGAAAGCAGAUUCUGUGAAUCCUUUUCUGUCCUUUUCUGCCUCUCUACUUUUAAUUGAAUUAGAUUGUUCGUCUCUGCUGGCCAUAUGUAAUCCG